rnacentral:rRNA from 1 species
GGAGGCCACCACCAGGGAUGCCUGCUGCUGAUUUUUUUUUCUCCCACGAAACUAAUCACCCCCGGCGGACACCGAUUGAUUGACUGACUGAUCUUUCUUUCUUAAUUCGGUGGGGGGUGGUGGAUGGCCGUUCUUAGUUGGGGGAGCGAUUUGGCUGGUUCACUCCCAUACCGAACGAUACUCUGGCCUUUUAAAUAGGCGCUCGUUUUUUAGUAUAUCUCUUUGCUUUCAAGGAGGGGCGGCCCCCAGCCACAUGAAAAAUAAAAAACAGGACUGUGAUGCCCUUAUAUGGUGGGGGCGGCCUGCGCGCUAACUAAAAAAAUCAAAGGGGGGGUGCCUAGUCCGGGGGACUGGGAACCCAACUCAAUUCUUUCGUGCGGGGAUAUGGAAUUGCUCUUAUUUCCCUUUUUAAGGACGUGUAGUAAAUGAGGGGGGAUAAGGUCGCGUUGAUUACGUCUCUGCCCUCCGCGGCCCCCCCCUCUCGCUGCUACCUAUUGUUUGACUUAUUGAGGUGGGUAG